rnacentral:ncRNA from 1 species
ACCCCGCCUGUUUACCAAAAACGUCACCUCUAGCAUUGUCAGUAUUAGAGGCCCCGCCUGCCCAGUGACAUGUGUUUAAUGUCCGCGAUACCCUGACCGUGCAAAGGUAGCAUAAUCACUUGUUCCUUAAAUAGGGACUUGUAUGAAUGGCCCCAUGAGGGU